ACUGUAACCUUCUCAGCCUAUAUAAUGUCACACACACACACACACACACACACACACACACACACACGUUUCCACUGUUAACUGUUGGUGUUGUAUAACCAAUUGGGAAGAGCAUCUCUUCUGCUCUCCUUAGUCCUUAGUUGUCUGUAGCUCUUUGUCUAUGGUUAAGGACUUGCAGUCUUACUCCAUGCCCUUUAAAGUGACUCUUAUGAUUGUACUUAUUGAGCUCCUGUUUAGGCAUUCAUGUUCGUGAGACAUUAUGGGUGUAGCUUCUGAUAUUAAUGGGAGAUACUCUCACAGCAAACUCUUCGGUCCUUUUGCUCUAACAAUCUUUCUUCCCCCUCUUUUGUAAUGAUUCCUGAGUCUUAGAUAAGGGAAUUACAAUAUAGAUAUAUCCCUUGGGAUUAAGCACUACAGCUCUGCAUUUUGAUUGGUUGUGGUUUUCUGAAAUAGUCUCCAUCUGUUGCAAAGAGAAGUCUCUUUGAUGAGGGGUGAGGACUACAUUUAUUUGUGAGUAUAAGAACACGUAUUUAGAAAUAGUUGGGACUUAUGCUGGUUUAGUAAAGUUGUCAUUGUACAUUUUCCUCCAAGACCAGUGUCUGUACUUGUCCUGGGUACUUAACAAGAUGUCCAGUACUGGCUAUGAUUUCCCUCUCAUUGAGUUGAUCUUAAGAGCAGAGAGAGAGAGAGCUGUUGGUUAUCACCAAGGUAUGACCACCACUAUUCCACCCUUAGAGUUCUCUUGCCAUGCUAGUAGUUGCUGUGGAACAUAGGCAUAUUAGUUGAUUAACUAAACUGCACCAAGAGUACCAAAAUGGCAAAAGAAAAAAAAAAAAAGGAUAUGUUCUUCAGUAAAUGAAGUUCAUUGCAGCAGUGGUAAUCAUGUUUUGGCAGCAACCAACUGCUCUCUGGUUAGACUUAAGACCAGCUCAGAGAGAGGGAAGUACUGGAAAUCAAGCUAAAUGUUGGUUGCUUCCUUCCUUUAGAAGUUUGCUUGUAGAAUAGAUAGUUUUACAAUCAGGCUUUGCUGAAGAGUCACAUAUUAAAAUUCACUGGGACAUGCCUAGUUUAUGUGUCUCAGUUUUGACUCCUAAGAGAUUUACAUCUGUGACGUGGAACAUAAAAUAAUGGAGAGCUGUCUGCCGACACAAAAGAAUUUUUCAUGUUGUCAGUCUGACAGGGAGCUAUGGUGAUGAAGGAACUUCUCAGAAAAGACCCUAUUACAGGUGUACAAGGGAUGUGGGCUUGAGAGUCAUGGCUUUGAAUUGCAGCUUUUCUGUGCCACAGACAAGAAAAGAGGAAACCCAAUGCAUAUUAAAGCUAACAACCUACCACCCAUUGUGUUGGGUAAACAUGUUCAUAUUCAAGCUUGGUACCACUGGUCCUGUUUCUGAAUGAGAAAAUGGACUACAUAAGGCACAAUAAUCUGCCCACAACUGCAACUAAACACAGCCUUUGGUUAGUGCAAACCCAGUAAGC
rnacentral:lncRNA from 1 species